rnacentral:rRNA from 1 species
GCAGUCGAGCGAGCUUUCGGGCUUAGCGGCGGACGGGUGAGUAACGCGUGGGAACGUGCCCUUUGGUACGGAAUAGUCCUGGGAAACUGGGUUUAAUACCGUAUAUUCCCUUCGGGGGAAAGAUUUAUCGCCAAAGGAUCGGCCCGCGUUGGAUUAGGUAGUUGGUGGGGUAAUGGCCUACCAAGCCGACGAUCCAUAGCUGGUUUGAGAGGAUGAUCAGCCACACUGGGACUGAGACACGGCCCAGACUCCUACGGGAGGCAGCAGUGGGGAAUCUUAGACAAUGGGGGCAACCCUGAUCUAGCCAUGCCGCGUGAUCGAUGAAGGCCUUAGGGUUGUAAAGAUCUUUCGCUGGGGAAGAUAAUGACGGUACCCAGUAAAGAAGCCCCGGCUAACUCCGUGCCAGCAGCCGCGGUAAUACGGAGGGGGCUAGCGUUGUUCGGAAUUACUGGGCGUAAAGCGCGCGUAGGCGGAUUGGAAAGUUGGGGGUGAAAUCCCGGGGCUCAACCCCGGAACUGCCUCCAAAACUAUCAGUCUGGAGUUCGAGAGAGGUGAGUGGAAUUG